GAUGAACGCUGGCGGCGUGCUUAACACAUGCAAGUCGAACGGAAAGGCUCCUGCUUGCAGGGGUACUCGAGUGGCGAACGGGUGAGUAACACGUGGGUGAUCUGCCCUGCACUUCGGGAUAAGCCUGGGAAACUGGGUCUAAUACCGGAUAGGACGAUGGUUUGGAUGCCAUUGUGGAAAGUUUUUCGGUGUGGGAUGAGCUCGAGGCCUAUCAGCUUGUUGGUGGGGUAAUGGCCUACCAAGGCGUCGACGGGUAGCCGGCCUGAGAGGGUGUACGGCCACAUUGGGACUGAGAUACGGACCAGAAUCCUACGGGAGGCAGCAGUGGGGAAUAUUGCACAAUGGGCGCACGCCUGAUGCAGCGACGCCGCGUGGGGGAUGACGGCCUUCGGGUUGUAAACUCCUUUCGCUAGGGACGAAGCGCAAGUGACGGUACCUGGAGAAGAAGCACCGGCUAACUACGUG
rnacentral:rRNA from 1 species